AGCGAACGCUGGCGGCAGGCCUAAAAACAUGCAAGUCGAACGGAUCCUUCGGGAUUAGUGGCGGACGGGUGAGUAACACGUGGGAACGUGCCUUUUGGUUCGGAACAACUCAGGGAAACUUGAGCUAAUACCGAAUGUGCCCUUCGGGGGAAAGAUUUAUCGCCAUUAGAGCGGCCCGCGUCUGAUUAGCUUGUUGGUGAGGUAAAGGCUCACCAAGGCGACGAUCAGUAGCUGGUCUGAGAGGAUGAUCAGCCACACUGGGACUGAGACACGGCCCAGACUCCUACGGGAGGCAGCAGUUAGGAAUCUUGCGCAAUGGGGAAACCCUGACGCAGCCAUGCCGCGUGAAUGAUGAAGGUCUUAGGAUUGUAAAAUUCUUUCAGCGGGGACGAUAAUGACGGUACCCGCAGAAGAAGCCCCGGCUAACUUCGUG
rnacentral:rRNA from 1 species